GACAGAGGGUGCAAACGUUGUUCGGAAUUACUGGGCGUAAAGGGCGCGUAGGCGGCCAUCUAAGUCAGACGUGAAAUCCCCCGGCUUAACCUGGGAACUGCGUCUGAUACUGGACGGCUUGAGUAUGGGAGAGGGAUGUAGAAUUCCAGGUGUAGCGGUGAAAUGCGUAGAUAUCUGGAGGAACACCGGUGGCGAAGGCGGCAUCCUGGACCGACACUGACGCUGAGGCGCGAAAGCUAGGGGAGCAAACGGG
rnacentral:rRNA from 1 species